rnacentral:rRNA from 1 species
AUUGAACGCUGGCGGCAGGCUUAACACAUGCAAGUCGAGCGGAUGAAGGUAGCUUGCUACCUGAUUUAGCGGCGGACGGGUGAGUAACGCCUAGGAACCUGCCUGGUAGCGGGGGACCACGUUUCGAAAGGAACGCUAAUACCGCAUACGUCCUACGGGUGAACGUGGGGGAUCUUCGGACCUCACGCUAUCAGAUGAGCCUAGGUACGAUUAGCUAGUUGGUAGGGUAAAGGCUCAACAAGGCGACGAUCGUUAACUGGUCUGAGAGGAUGAUCAGUCACACUGGAACUGAGACACGGUCCAGACGCCUACGGGAGGCAGCAGUGGGGAAUAUUGGACAAUGGGCGAAAGCCUGAUCCAGCCAUGCCGCGUGUGUGAAGAAGGUCUUCGGAUUGUAAAGCACUUUAAGUUGGGAGGAAGGGCAGUAAGUUAAUACCUUGCUGUUUUGACGUUUCCGACAGAAUAAGCACUGGCUAACUUCGUGCCAGCCGCCGCAGUAAUAC